UCAAUCCAUCACCACCCACAGCUCGCGAACAUUGUCUAUCAAUGCCGAUUAAACAGUCAGAUCAAACUAGAUUCUCAUAUUAGGUAACAUACAAUAAUCCGGCCAUCCGGGAUAACUCGAAAACGCAACAUCAUCGCUUUCACCUCCUUCUCAUUCUUCUCCGUCUGGUUUUCCGGAGGAUUUCAUCGUUGCCCAUCUCUGCAAUUCCAUUAUUUAUUAAUACUUUUUUUAUUUACAUUCAUUUAUUUCUUGUAAUGAGAGGCCAUGAUUUGAUAAACACGGUUCUUCCCGACGAAUUGAUCAUCGAGAUCUUCAAUCAUCUCGACGGUUCGAAGUUAAGCUGCGACGCCUGCUCUCUCGUCUGCAAGAGAUGGCUCAGACUAGAUAGAUCCAGUCGCCGAACAGUACGAAUUGAAGCCUCAGGUAAUCCCGACGUGGUAGCGAACCUCCUGGUUCGCCGAUUCGUCAACAUCGAAAACGUUUACAUUGACGAAAGGUUGCCGGUUUCGUUGCCGCUCCAGUUUGGGUACUCGACACGGCCAGGAUUGGCCCGGCCGCCUACCGGAAAAAGGCGUCGUGGUAGUAAAUCUGCUCGUUCAUCUUCAAAAAUUCGAUAUUCUUCUGAAAAUAGUGCAUCUGAAGGAAGUAAUUUAGAGCCAUACAGUUUGUCAGAUGCUGGCCUGAAUGCUCUUGCUGAAGGCUUUACAAGACUUGAAAAGUUGAGCUUAGUUUGGUGUUCUAAUGUGACCAGUGUGGGUUUGCAAUCAAUUGCGGAGAAGUGUAGAUCUUUGAAAUUUUUGGAUUUGCAGGGUUGCUAUGUUGGAGAUCAAGGUCUGGCAGCUGUGGGAAAGUGUUGUAAGCAACUUGAAGAUUUAAAUUUGCGUUUUUGUGAAGGCUUGAGUGAUAUAGGCUUGGUUGAAUUAGCCCACGGAUGUGGAAGAUCACUAAAAACUCUUGGUGUAGCAGCUUGUGCCAAAAUAACUGACAUCUCUUUGGAGGCAGUGGGUUCUCAUUGUCCCUUUCUCCAGACCUUGUCACUGGAUUCGGAGUUUAUUAAGAAUAAGGGAGUUCUUUCUGUGGCGCAAGGAUGCCCCUCCUUGAAAGUUCUAAAACUACAAUGUAUAAGCGUUACCGAUGAGGCUCUGCAAGCUGUGGGUGCCUAUUGUUCUUUGUUAGAAUUUCUGGCUUUAUACAGUUUUCAAAAAUUUACUGACAGGAGUCUUUGUGCUAUUGGAAGGGGGUGUAAGAAGCUCAAAAAUCUUAUUCUAAGUGAUUGCUAUUUUUUGAGCGACAAGAGUUUGGAAGCAAUAGCCACUGGCUGCUGUGAGCUCACUUGUCUUGAAGUCAAUGGAUGUCACAAUAUUGGAACAUCUGGGCUGGAGGCCAUUGGAAAAUCUUGCCCGGGCCUUUCGGAGCUGGCUUUAUUAUACUGUCAAAGGAUUGGUAAUACUGCUCUUUCUGAAGUUGGUAGAGGUUGCAAACUCUUACAAGCUAUUCGCUUGGUGGAUUGUUCAAGUAUAGGAGAUGAUGCCAUAUGUGGUAUAGCUCAGGGAUGCAGGAACUUGAAGAAACUUCAUAUCCGUCGAUGUUAUGAGGUUGGAGAUAAAGGAAUCAUUGCCAUAGGCGAGAACUGUAAAUCUCUCACAGACCUAAGCCUUCAGUUCUGUGAUAGGGUUGGUGAUGAUGCUUUAAUUGCUAUUGGUCGGGGUUGCUCGCUACAGUAUUUGAAUGUCAGUGGGUGCCACCAAAUUGGUGAUGCUGGACUAAUAGCAAUUGCAAGAGGAUGUCCUGAACUUGUUUAUCUAGAUGUAAGCGUUCUUCAGAAUCUAGGGGAUAUGGCACUAUUUGAAAUUGGAGAAGGCUGUCCUUUACUCAAGGACAUAGUGCUGUCUCACUGUCGACAAAUUACGGAUGCUGGAUUAACAUAUCUUGUUAGCAGAUGUGCAAUGCUUGAAUCUUGUCACAUGGUUUACUGCCCAUUUGUGACUUCAGCUGGGGUAGCUACUGUGGUUUCGGGUUGUCUCAAGAUGAAGAAAGUCUUAGUGGAAAAGUGCAAGGUUUCUGAGAGAACUAGGCGAAGGGCAGGAUCUGUCCUCUCUUACCUAUGUGUGGACCUUUAAUUGUGGCUACUGACAUUUUUGCACUCAAUUUUGGUUCUGUUGGGCACACCUUAUGCCAGAAGGGAGCUGACUUCAAAAUACUGUGAUAUCUUAGCACUGGAAAGGUUGUAAUCCAGAAAUUCUUUGUGUACAAAGACUUCAGAAAAACAAAGAUGGUACUUUAAUUUUAAGGGGGGGUGGGGGGGUCUCCAACAUUAACUUUAUUGGUAUUGAGCUCCAAAAUUAAGGCCCUAUGUCUGGUUUGAAAAAGCAUUGAUUCUUGAGCACACCAAUGAGGCCUUAGACAAUCAAAUAAAAUCCAAUCCAUUAAAAAUUUGAUCUAUGGACAACAUUUUGUGUUGAAGAUUGUAAUGCUAGAGGAAUCCUUAGCACAGGACAUAGAGGGAGAGAUUAUAAGCAUCUAGGCUGUAAAGAUGAUUUUUGACAGAACUAAAAAAGGACAUCUAACAGAACCGGGUGCAAAUCCAUAAUAAGCAUAUAGAAGUAUUGUACAUCAAAAGUUGUGGUUUCAAAAGAUAGGAUGUGUAUUUUGUGAAUGGGGCGUGUUUUGGAAGAAAUGAGGGCAUCUAUGAAUUCCCUAAGCUCUGACCUCUGAGGUGACUUUUCAAUAAAAAUCUACUAUAUGAGGUUGUACAAUAAAAGCAAAAAAAAAAUGUUAUUAGUUAUAGAGUUUACUCGUUUCUAGAACUGAGACUAGAAACUUGUUCUUGAAUCUCUGGUUUCAAGGAUUCCUCUGGUGAUUUGAUGUUGUGUUUCAUAAAAGGUGCAAUGUGGAUAUUAGCUUACCUUAAUUUUUAUUUAUACUUUGGAAUCCAUAAAUGUGGGU